UACGGAGGGUGCAAGCGUUGUUCGGAAUUACUGGGCGUAAAGGGCGCGUAGGCGGUCCGCUCAGUCAGAUGUGAAAGUCCACGGCUCAACUGUGGAAGUGCAUUUGAUACUGGCAGACUUGAGUACUGGAGGGGAUGGUGGAAUUCCCGGUGUAGAGGUGAAAUUCGUAGAUAUCGGGAGGAAUACCGGUGGCGAAGGCGACCAUCUGGCCAGAUACUGACGCUGAGGCGCGAAAGCGUGGGGAGCAAAC
rnacentral:rRNA from 1 species